GAUGAACGCUGGCGGCGUGCCUAAUACAUGCAAGUCGAGCGAACAGACGAGGAGCUUGCUCCUCUGACGUAAGCGGCGGACGGGUGAGUAACAUGUGGAUAACCUACCUAUAAGACUGGGAUAACGUCGGGAAACCGGAGCUAAUACCGGAUAAUAUAUUGAACCGCAUGGUUCAAUAGUGAAAGACGGUUUUGCUGUCACUUAUAGAUGGAUCCACGCCGCAUUAGCUAGUUGGUAAGGUAACGGCUUACCAAGGCAACGAUGCGUAGCCGACCUGAAAGGGUGAUCGGCCACACUGGAACUGAGACACGGUCCAGACUCCUACGGGAGGCAGCAGUAGGGAAUCUUCCGCAAUGGGCGAAAGCCUGACGGAGCAACGCCGCGUGAGUGAUGAAGGUCUUCGGAUCGUAAAACUCUGUUAUUAGGGAAGAACAAAUGUGUAAGUAACUAUGCACGUCUUGACGGUACCUAAUCAGAAAGCCACGGCUAACUACGUG
rnacentral:rRNA from 1 species